CCUAGAGUUGUAGGCUUUGCCUGCUAUCUCUUACCCAUGUCUUUUGAGUACCUUACGUUUCCUCGGUGGGUUCGCCCACCGAUUGGACAAAUUUAAACCCUCUGCAGUUGAAAUCAGCGUCUGAAAAAACUUAAUAGUUA
rnacentral:misc_RNA from 1 species